rnacentral:rRNA from 1 species
CCUACGGGUGGCUGCAGUGGGGAAUAUUGGACAAUGGGGGCAACCCUGAUCCAGCCAUGCCGCGUGUGUGAAGAAGGCCCUCGGGUUGUAAAGCACUUUCAGGGAGGAAGAACGCCUGGUGGUUAAUACCCAGCAGGAAAGACAUCACUCACAGAAGAAGCACCGGCUAACUCCGUGCCAGCAGCCGCGGUAAUACGGAGGGUGCGAGCGUUAAUCGGAAUUACUGGGCGUAAAGCGCGCGUAGGUGGCUUGAUAAGCCGGUUGUGAAAGCCCCGGGCUCAACCUGGGAACGGCAUCCGGAACUGUCAAGCUAGAGUGCAGGAGAGGAAGGUAGAAUUCCCGGUGUAGCGGUGAAAUGCGUAGAGAUCGGGAGGAAUACCAGUGGCGAAGGCGGCCUUCUGGACUGACACUGACACUGAGGUGCGAAAGCGUGGGUAGCAAACAGGAUUAGAUACCCGUGUAGUC